rnacentral:rRNA from 1 species
GUGCGAGACCGAUAGCGAACAAGUACCGUGAGGGAAAGAUGAAAAGAACUUUGAAAAGAGAGUUAAAGAGUACCUGAAACUGCUGAAAGGGAACCGAAUCGUUUCCAGUGUCUAUAAUCCAUGGCAUAUUUCAUUGGCGAGUGAGUGCGUGCAGCGUUUUGGAAGUGGUUUUCCGCUCCUGUCGUUGUUGUGCAUUUGCUUGCUGGUGCCCUGUGCUGUGGUGGGACGUCAGAGUCAGUUUGUGUGUUGCGGGAAAUGGUUAUUGGGGAGGUAGGUCAUUUCGGUGGCUAUUAUAUCCUGGUAACUAGUCGUCGUGGCUGGGACUGAGGUGCCUACAACGUGCUUUCGAGUGUGCGGGUUUCUCGUGUGGCUGUUUGCUUUGAUAGCUUGCUAUGUUGGUGAAUGUGUUGAGCGAUUGAGAUCUGUAGUAACUUGUUGCUGUUCGGGACUUUGA